ACUUUCAACAACGGAUCUCUUGGUUCUCGCAUCGAUGAAGAACGCAGCGAAAUGCGAUAAGUAGUGUGAAUUGCAGAAUUCAGUGAAUCAUCGAAUCUUUGAACGCACAUUGCGCCUUCCGGUACUCCGGGAGGCAUGCCUGUUCGAGCG
rnacentral:rRNA from 1 species